rnacentral:lncRNA from 1 species
CUCUGUGUCCAGGCCACCUCUUGUCCUCUCUGUGUUCCGGGCCACACCCCAUCGCUUUUGGAGCCACACCUCCUGCAAGUCAUGUGACUCACUGACCCGAGAUCCUGGAUGAUUCUGAUGAGCAGACAAGAUGAAGAAGCCUUGGGAGAGAGGAUGGUUUGUGGUGCUCUGUGGACCCUUUCUGGAAGCUCCGGAGAAGAUCUGGAAAGCUUGAUGCUUGGUUCUGACACCAACACAAGUAGACCUCAUGAUUACUUAGGUCUGAAGUCUAGUGACACAGUAACAGAGGAUUUUAAUGAGAUCCAGAGAUGUUCUCCUAAUCGUUCACUCCAGUUGAAGUUAUUGCAGAAAGAACAGUGUCAAGGAAUCCACACAUUGCAUAUUCCUGCCAUGGAGCUGUGAUUGUUUCAAUAAAGGGCACAGGAAAAAAGGAAGUUAAGUAGAGCCCAUAACUGCCUUACUCU